rnacentral:rRNA from 1 species
UACGGAGGGAGCUAGCGUUGUUCGGAAUUACUGGGCGUAAAGCGCACGUAGGCGGCUUUGUAAGUUAGAGGUGAAAGCCCGGGGCUCAACCCCGGAAUUGCCUUUAAGACUGCAUCGCUUGAAUCCGGGAGAGGUGAGUGGAAUUCCGAGUGUAGAGGUGACAUUCGUAGAUAUUCGGAAGAACACCAGUGGCGAAGGCGGCUCACUGGACCGGCAUUGACGCUGAGGUGCGAAAGCGUGGGGAGCAAACAGG